rnacentral:rRNA from 1 species
UACAGAGGGGGCAAGCGUUGUUCGGAAUUACUGGGCGUAAAGGGCGCGUAGGCGGCCCUCUAAGUCAGACGUGAAAUCCCUCGGCUCAACCGGGGAACUGCGUCUGAGACUGGGGGGCUUGAAUCCGGGAGAGGGAUGUGGAACUCCAGGUGUAGCGGUGAAAUGCGUAGAUAUCUGGAGGAACACCGGUGGCGAAGGCGGCAUCCUGGACCGGUAUUGACGCUGAGGCGCGAAAGCCAGGGGAGCAAACGGG